AUUGAACGCUGGCGGCAGGCCUAACACAUGCAAGUCGAACGAGUGGCGGACGGGUGAGUAAUGUCUGGGAAACUGCCUGAUGGAGGGGGAUAAAUACUGGAAACGGUAGCUAAUACCGAAUACCAUCGACUGGGCCCAGAUGGGAUUAGCUAGUAGGGGGGGUAAAGCUUCUCAUAGGCGACGCUCCCUAGCUGGUCGGAGCGGAUGACCAGCCACACGUGAACUGAGACACGGUCCAGACUCCUACGGGAGGCAGCAGUGGGGAAUAUUGCACAAUGGGCGCAAGCCUGAUGCAGCCAUGCCGCGUGUGUGAAGAAGGCCUUCGGGUUGUAAAGCACUUUCAGCGAGGAGGCGUUACUCGCAGAAGAAGCACCGGCUAACUCCGUGCCAGCAGCCGCGGUAAUUC
rnacentral:rRNA from 1 species